ACAUGCCUUAUUCCGGGAAAUACCCAGCCGAAAGGUUGGCUAAUGUCCCAUGGUCUCGCAAGAGUAAAGCUCCGGCGGAAUAAGAUUGGCCUUGUCCCUAUCAGCUAGUUGGUGAGGUAAAGGCCCACCAAGGCUUCGACGGGUAGCUGGUCUGAGAGGAUGAUCAGCCACAAUGGGACUGAGACACGGCCCAUACACCUACGGGUGGCAGCAGUUGGGAAUAUUGCGCAAUGGACGACAGUCUGACGCAGCGACGCCGCGUGAAGGAUGAAGGUUUUCGGAUCGUAAACUUCUUUUAUAGGGGAAGAUUGUGACUGUACCCUAUGAAUAAGGGCCUGCUAACUACGUGCCAGCAGCAGCGGUAAUACGUAGGGCCCGAGCGUUGUCCGGAUUUAUUGGGCGUAAAGAGUAUGUAGGUGGUCAUUUAAGU
rnacentral:rRNA from 1 species